rnacentral:rRNA from 1 species
GGGAAUAACUGUUGGAAACGACAGCUAAUACCGCAUAAUAUUGAUGGAUAAUUUCCAGUAAUGAAAGGAGCUUUCAAGCUCCGCUGAUUGAUGAGGAUGCGGCGCAUUAGCUAGUUGGUAGGGUAAUGGCCUACCAAGGCAAUGAUGCGUAGCCGAUCUGAGAGGAUGAACGGCCACAUUGGGACUGAGACACGGCCCAAACUUCUACGGAAGGCAGCAGUAGGGAAUUUUUCACAAUGGGCGAAAGCCUGAUGGAGCAAUGCCGCGUGACUGAUGAAGGUCUUCGGAUUGUAAAGGUCUGUUGUAAGGGAAGAAAUGGUAAAACAGGAAAUGGUUUUAUCUAUGACGGUACCUUACCAGAAAGCCACGGCUAACUAUGUGCCAGCAGCCGCGGUAAUACAUAUGUGGCAAGCGUUAUCCG